AACAAGGCGUACCUGCGGACCUGCGGAAGGAUCAUUACCGAGUUAUACAACUCAUCAACCCCUGUGAACUUACCUACAACGUUGCUUCGGCGGGAACAGACGGCCCCGUAAAACGGGCCGCCCCCGCCAGAGGACCCCUAACUCUGUUUUUAUAAUGUUUUUCUGAGUAAACAAGCAAAUAAAUUAAAACUUUUAACAACGGAUCU
rnacentral:misc_RNA from 1 species